UGGGUAACCUGCCUCAAAGAGGGGAAUAGCCUCCCGAAAGGGAGAUUAAUACCGCAUAAUAUGUUUAAGUCGCAUGACUUUAACAUCAAAGGAUUUUCUUUUAGAACUUCCACUUUGAGAUGGACCCGCGGCGCAUUAGCUAGUUGGUGAGGUAACGGCUCACCAAGGCAACGAUGCGUAGCCGACCUGAGAAGGUGAUCGGCCACAUUGGAACUGAGACACGGUCCAGACUCCUAGGGAGG
rnacentral:rRNA from 1 species